rnacentral:snRNA from 1 species
AAGCCUUCUUGGCCUUUUGGCCAAGAUCAAGUGUAGUAUAUGUCAUUGUCAGUUUAGUAUGAGAUAUAUGGGACAACACGCACGAUGUCCACUCAAUAUUUUACAGAAAGAAACUUCC